CCUACGGGGGGCAGCAGUGGGGAAUAUUGGACAAUGGGGGCAACCCUGAUCCAGCCAUGCCGCGUGUGUGAAGAAGGCCCUCGGGUUGUAAAGCACUUUCAGUGAGGAAGAACGCCUGGUGGUUAAUACCCAUCAGGAAAGACAUCACUCACAGAAGAAGCACCGGCUAACUCCGUGCCAGCAGCCGCGGUAAUACGGAGGGUGCGAACGUUAAUCGGAAUUACUGGGCGUAAAGCGCGCGUAGGUGGCUUGAUAAGCCGGUUGUGAAAGCCCCGGGCUCAACCUGGGAACGGCAUCCGGAACUGUCAAGCUAGAGUGCAGGAGAGGAAGGUAGAAUUCCCGGUGUAGCGGUGAAAUGCGUAGAGAUCGGGAGGAAUACCAGUGGCGAAGGCGGCCUUCUGGACUGACACUGACACUGAGGUGCGAAAGCGUGGGUAGCAAACAGGAUUAGAUACCCCUGUAGUC
rnacentral:rRNA from 1 species